rnacentral:rRNA from 1 species
AUGCUUAACACAUGCAAGUCGAACGAAGUCUUCGGACUUAGUGGCGCACGGGUGAGUAACAUGUGGGAAUCUACCUAGAGGUUCGGAAUAACUGCGGGAAACUGUAGCUAAUACCGGAUGUGUCUGCAAAGAGAAAGAUUUAUCGCCUUUAGAUGAGCCCGCACUAGAUUAGUUUGUUGGUGAGGUAAAAGCUCCACCAAGACUACGAUCUAUAGCUGAUUUGAGAGGAUGAUCAGCCACACUGGGACUGAGACACGGCCCAGACUCCUACGGGAGGCAGCAGUGGGGAAUAUUGGACAAUGGGGGAAACCCUGAUCCAGCAAUGUCGCGUGAGUGAAGAAGGCCUUCGGGUUGUAAAGCUCUUUCAUCAGUGAAGAUAAUGACAUUAACUGAAGAAGAAGCUCCGGCUAACUCCGUGCCAGCAGCCGCGGUAAUACGGAGGGGGCUAGCGUUGUUCGGAAUUACUGGGCGUAAAGCGUCUGUAGGCGGAUCAAAAAGUUAGAUGUGAAAUCCCUGAGCUUAACUCAGGAACUGCAUUUAAAACUAGUGAUCUAGAAUUUGGUAGAGGAUAGUAGAAUUUCCAGUGUAGAGGUGAAAUUCGUAGAUAUUGGAAAGAAUACCAGUGGCGAAGGCGACUAUCUGGGCCAUUUUUGACGCUGAGAGACGAAAGCGUGGGUAGCAAACAGGAUUAGAUACCCUGGUAGUCCACGCAGUAAACGAUGAGUGCUAGUCGCUGGGUCAAUAGAUUCGGUGUCGAAGCUAACGCAUUAAGCACUCCGCCUGGGAAGUACGGU